GUUUCCGUAGUGUAGCGGUUAUCACGUCUGCUUCACACGCAGGAGGGCCCCGGUUCGAUCCCGGGCGGGAACA
rnacentral:tRNA from 1 species